UACGUAGGGGGCAAGCGUUGUCCGGAUUUAUUGGGCGUAAAGAGCGUGUAGGCGGUUUGGUAGGUCCGUUGUGAAAACUCGAGGCUCAACCUCGAGACGCCGAUGGAAACCAUCAGACUAGAGUCCGGAAGAGGAGAGUGGAAUUCCUGGUGUAGCGGUGAAAUGCGUAGAUAUCAGGAGGAACACCGGUGGUGUAGACGGCUUUCUGGACCGUAACUGACGCUGAGACACGAAAGCGUGGGUAGCAAACAGG
rnacentral:rRNA from 1 species